UACGAAGGGUGCAAGCGUUAUUCGGAAUCACUGGGCGUAAAGGGUGCGUAGACGGUUUGUUAAGUUUGUCGUUAAAGACUCUAGCCUAACUGGAGGGUUGCGAUGAAAACUGGCAGGCUAGAGGAUGAGAGAGAGAAGUGGAAUUCCCGGAGUAGCGGUAAAAUGCGUGGAUCUCGGGAGGAACACCAAUGGCGAAGGCAGCUUCUUGGCUCAUUCCUGACGUUGAGGCACGAAAGCGUGGGGAGCGAACAGG
rnacentral:rRNA from 1 species